rnacentral:lncRNA from 1 species
GUGGGGUACCGUCCCCCCCCCCAAACUCAUCUCAAUAGACAGCAUAUCCCAGCGUGGCAGAACAGGCUGGGCAGCAGAGACCUACCUGGAGUUCUGAUGGAUCAGAGGUCAUUCACUACAGAGAAAACUUGGGGAGCAGCCUGAGAAACAUCAAAUGCUGGAAGGAGACGGGAGAAGAACACUAUUAUGAACCAGAUGACUCUGUCUUAAGUGAAAUAAACCCAAGCAACAUCAAA